rnacentral:lncRNA from 1 species
ACGAUCGGCCCUGGUGAGAACGGUCCCACUUCUGCGGUCUCUGCAUCAGACGCUGUGCAAGUGAUCCAAGCAGCUCAACUAGCCGGCGUAGGCCAUGUUGCAAUAGUGUAUGAUGGUAACCCGGGGAAUGGUUCUACUUACAAUGUGCUCGAUGGCAUCACGUCCUUCUUUAGCAACCUCUUCUCUCAAUCUCAACCAUUGAGUCUGUCCGAGUUCUUGCAAAAAAUAAUCGAAACUGACGUUAGCUACACGUUUUUUAAGACAACCCUAACAGAUGAUUAUUCGGAAGAGAGCUCUUACAAUGUUGUGGUGUCAGCUGAAGGAAGCAUUGGUACAAACGACUACAAAGUAAUGUAACAUAAUGUAAUGUAAUGUAUGCAGUUUUGUCUGUUCCAUUGUAAAAAAAAAAUUUCUUUCUCGAUCAGAAUCUCUGUUUGUCUCAAUAUUUUUGAAAACUUCGUUCAGGUUGCGAAAUCCCAGAUAGCAUCUUUAGUGGCAGAUGUUUUCUCCAACACAGCAGUGGCAGAAAACAAGGUACAUUCAUUGAAUCUGUUCUUCCUUCUCAUGUUGAUUUUUUGUUACAUAUAUAUUUAUGUCCUAAUGGUUGCUAAAUGAGGCAGGUUGUGGAAGUUUUUACUAGCCCAUCGGCACCAUCGAAGAGUGUAGACGAGCUUUUCAGGUAAAUUGCUUGGGGACUUGAAUUGAAUUUUGUUACUUCAAAUAGAUGUUAUAGAAAGAUGCUAUAUUGGUGGGCAAAAACUAUGUUGUAAUUGAUGUUUCUGUUACUUGCUUUUAAGUGCUAUUCCUGAGGAUGGAAGAAGGAAGGCGUAUGCAGAAGCCACCGCAAGGGCUAAAGCUGAAGAAGAGGCAGUAUUAGCAGCUGAGAAAGCUCGUGAGGCGGCCGAAGCAGCGAAGAAGCUAGAAGUGGAAGUGA